UGACAAGUUUUUGGUUGUGCUGUUUCUGC
rnacentral:piRNA from 1 species